GAUGAAGAACGCAGCGAAAUGCGAUACGUAAUGUGAAUUGCAGAAUUCAGUGAAUCAUCGAAUCUUUGAACGCAUAUUGCGCUCUCUGGUAUUCCGGAGAGCAUGCUUGUUUGAGUAUCAGUAAACACCUCAACUUCCAUAUCUUUUUUGAAAUGGGAGUUGGACUUGAGUGAUCCCAACGCUUUUCCUCACCGAAAAGUGGCGGGUUACUUGAAAUGCAGGUGCAGCUGGACUUUUCUCUGAGCUAUAAGCAUAUCUAUUUAGUCUGCCUAAAAAACCGAUUAUUACCUUUGCUGCAGCUAACAUAAAGGAGAUUAGUUCUUGUGCUGACUGAUGCAGGAUUCACAAAGACGGCUUCGGCCGACUUUGUAAACUCGAUCUCAAAUCAAGUAAGACUACCCGCUGAACUUAAGCAUAUCAAUAAGCGGAGGA
rnacentral:misc_RNA from 1 species